rnacentral:rRNA from 1 species
UACAGAGGGUGCGAACGUUGUUCGGAAUUACUGGGCUUGAAGCGCGCGUAGGCGGCCCCGCAAGUGCGGUGUGAAAUCCCACGGCUUACCCGUGGAACCGCGCCGUGUACUACGGGGCUAGAGGAUGGUAGAGGAGGGCGGAACUCUUGGUGGAGCGGUGAAAUGCGCAGAGAUCAAGAGGAACACCGGUGGCGAAGGCGGCCCUCUGGUCCAUUACUGACGCUGAGGCGCGAAAGCUAGGGGAGCAAACGGG